AGUGCCUUAGACCGCUGCGCCACUCGGGAGCACAGGUGUCAAUUUAAUGGCUAUUCUACGUUGGUUCAACGUAAUUUCAUUGAAACGACGUGGAAACAAGUUUGAUUCAACCAGUGUGUGCCCAGUGGGAACACUCGAUCACUUCAUAUGCGCGUUCACGAGUCAAUCAAGUACAUUUCAAAAAUAGUCUGAAUAAGUCAACAUAAAUCAAGAAAUCUUAAAACAUCUGAAAUUAUUUGCAGAGCUGGUCUUAGUCGCACAUCUAGCAAAGGACUUUAUUGCUUGAAGGGGUGGUAUUUCUGACGUUUCAUAAUGUACAUGAAAGCUACCUAGCUAAUGGACAAGUUAUCUAGCUAGCUUAACCUGAGCCAGCCACUUCAUAUGAAACGACAUUGCAGCUAACCACAGCUAGCUAGCAGCAGGCAGUCUACAACAAGCCAAAUCAGCUGAUGCAAUCACUGGCGAUCGAUAGACUUGCACAUAUUCUGUGCGGAAGUAGAGUGUUGUCAUUUUCUUUUUACAACUCUGUUGUUACUCCCUGAGUGCACUGCCCAUGUUUCAUAGCAAGUCAUGCUAGCUACUACAAGACCGCUCCCAGGAGAAUGUGCACAAAUAGAUUUUCUAAUGUGGAAUAUUGGUUCACUGUCCAGAGGCUCUCCAACUCCAUAUUUGUUCUGAGCACAAAUUCGGAACACAUACUCAUGCCCUUCCAUCAGGCCCUCCACCGUCCAGAUACGCUCCUUGGGUUCGUUGGUCACAGGGAUCCAUGUCUUCCUGUUGGCUACACGCCUCUCAAUGACGUAGUUGGUCACUUUGGAGCCACCGUCAUCCUUAGGUGGCAGCCAUGACAGGGUGAUCUUCUCAGCGUCAACCUCCUCAAACUUCACAGGACCGGAUGGUGGUCCAGGACGUCCUGAAGAAAGGAAGUGAUACCAUUUGUUAAGUGAAAAGAAAACUUUUAAUAAUGUAAUUUGUUGAUUUUCUUGGCUGUGAAAAUAUGAUAAUAAAGCAUGUUGAAUUUCAA